AUGGGAGUUUCGGGCCUUUGGUCAACAUUUAGAUUUUACGAUUUAAAGAAUAUUGGGGCACAAGGGAACCAACCCCUUUUUACCACUAGGCCGCCACCUCUUUGAUGAGAAGCAAGUAGUUGGAGAAGCUCAUUCAGAAAUCCAAUAGUAUAAUAUGAAUACACAAACAUCAAUUUGCUGGAGACCAUGAAGGUGAAAAACAGUUCGAGAAGCCCUUCAAAGAGGAGCUACGCUUACCGGUUAGCGUCUGCGCCGA